CUAAAAACAACAGUUAGACAGUGACUACACAAGUAGCCAAUACAAUGCAAAGUUAAUAAGACUGCCACUUCGGCUAACCCAUCAAAUACUGCUGUGGGAGAGUAAAGCUGUAUUUAUACCGGCGGGAAACAGUAAUGCUUUGCAGAUUUGUGAUGAAGUAUGGUUAGUGAUUGAAGGGAGUAUACGCUAUUCAACUUCAAUCUGUGGUUAAUCCGUCAGUGGCGGAAAUAAAUUGGCUAAAUCAAGUUGAUCGACAAGGGAGGGUACCAACAAGGUGUCCACCAAUCAAGUAUUCUGGGCCUGCCGGUAUUGGGGAAGGUUACUAACUGCCGCAGAGUGUCGCUAAGUGGUUUUGCACAAUGGAAAGCAGAAAAUGCAACAAUGUAUCCUUUUUGAAAUUAAGAAUGUCUGCUUCGUGUGCGGGCCACAACUCCAAAUUUGCACAAUGGAGAGGAACAAGUUUUAUUUUUCAUCAAAACUGCAGUAGGAGUGACAGUGAUACAGAGAACAUGAGUGAAAGUAUCAUCAAUCAGCUGAGUAGCAGCAAUGUCCAUAUUCCAACGUCUCCUAGUUCCAAAUAUAGCACCCCCCACUUCUAACUCAGCACAGCAUUAUUCUAUGAACAACGAUAGCGGACAUUUUCUCCAACUACAAAUGCAGCAACUAAACCAGAGGAAUGACAGCAGAAAAUUGUGAAGAAAUAAUGAUUUUUAAAUGACCUCUUAAGCUUAAAAAUUGCCCAUACACUUAUUUGAUUAUAUUUAUUGCUUUAAGGCUUUGAGUUGUAUUGAAAAUGUAUUCAGUAGUCAAAAUAAUUGUAAUUCAAGACUGAUAAGUGAUAUUUCUAAUGACAGUUUGUAUAUUUCUGACUCACUUCAAGAUAGUCAAGAUAAUGUAAUGCAAGCAUUAGUGAUGCCAAUAAUGCUUUACAUAAAUGUACCUGAUCUUAAUGUAAACUAUUGUUAGCCACAUCAUGGGAUUAUUGAACAGUGAUAGUAGUGCUGUUACACUUUUUUACAGCAGCAAAAUAAUAUCAGUACUAUGAUGCAGGAUACCAAAACUGACUAAACCUGGAAAUGCCCUUUCAGAUGAAGAAAUUGCUGUUUUGUCAGUUGGUUUAAAGUUUAAAAUGUGUUCAUAUUGAUAUGCUGAACUGCAUAAGCGUAGGACAGAUAUGUUUGAGUUAAUUAAGAAGUUUUAUCUGAAUUGUUUUUAGGUAUGUGUCUUUUUUUCCUGCACAAAUUGAUUAGGACAUCAGUAAUUCCAAUGUACAUGU